CCUACGGGAGGCAGCAGUGAGGAAUAUUGGUCAAUGGGCGCAAGCCUGAACCAGCCAAGUCGCGUGAGGGAUGACGGUCCUAUUGAUUGUAAACCUCUUUUGUCGGGGAGCAAGGCCCGCCACGGGUGGCGGGUAGGAGAGUACCCGAAGAAAAAGCAUCGGCUAACUCCGUGCCCGCAGCCGCGGUAAUACGGAGGAUGCGAGCGUUAUCCGGAUUUAUUGGGUUUAAAGGGUGUGUAGGCGGAAGGUUAAGUCAGCGGUCAAAUGUCGGUGCUCAACACCGGACUGCGGUUGAAACUGGUCUGCUUGAGUUAGCGAGAAGUAUGCGGAAGGCGUGGUGUAGCGGGGAAAUGCAUAGAUAUCACGCAGAACUCCGAUUGCGAAGGCAGCAUACCGGCGCUCAACUGACGCUGAGGCACGAAAGCGUGGGGAUCGAACAGGAUUAGAUACCCGGGUAGUC
rnacentral:rRNA from 1 species